rnacentral:rRNA from 1 species
GACGAACGCUGGCGGCGUGCUUAACACAUGCAAGUCGAACGAUGAACCCGGAGCUUGCUCCGGUGGAUUAGUGGCGAACGGGUGAGUAACACGUGAGUAACCUGCCCUUGACUCUGGGAUAACUGCGGGAAACUGUAGCUAAUACCGGAUACGACCCUCGGCGGCAUCGCCAGGGGGUGGAAAGAAUUUCGGUCAAGGAUGGACUCGCGGCCUAUCAACUAGUUGGGGAGGGAACGGCUCACCAAGGCGACGACGGGUAGCCGGCCUGAGAGGGUGACCGGCCACACUGGGACUGAGACACGGCCCAGACUCCUACGGGAGGCAGCAGUGGGGAAUAUUGCACAAUGGGCGCAAGCCUGAUGCAGCGACGCCGCGUGAGGGAUGACGGCCUUCGGGUUGUAAACCUCUUUUAGUAGGGAAGAAGCGAAAGUGACGGUACCUGCAGAAAAAGCACCGGCUAACUACGUGCCAGCCGCCGCGGUAA